rnacentral:tRNA from 1 species
GAGGUGGUGGCGCAAUGGCAGCGCAGUGGACUCCAGGUUAAGUGUCAUCCAAAGGUUAUCGGUUCGAUUCCGGUGCAUCUCA